rnacentral:rRNA from 1 species
AUUGAACGCUGGCGGCAGGCCUAACACAUGCAAGUCGAGCGAGGGGCGGACGGGAGAGAAAUGUAAGGGGAACUGCCAGAAAGAGGGGGAUAACUACGGAAAACGGUGGCUAAUACCGAAUACUAUCGGAUGAACGCAUACGGGAUUAGCUAGUUGGUGGGGUAAAGGCUAACCUAGGAGACGAUCUCUAGACGGUCUGAGAGGAUGAUAGGCCACACUGUGACUUAGACACGGCCCAGACUCAGACGGGAGGCAGCAGUGGGGAAUCUUGCACAAUGGGCGCAAGCCUGAUGGCGCCAUGCCGCGUGUAUGAAGAAGGCCUUCGGUUUGUAAAGUACUUUCAUCGGGGAGGCGGUACCCUCAUAAAAAGCCCCGGCUAACUACGUGCCAGCAGCCGCGGUAAUUC